AUAUGAAGUUUCAUGUGGCGUUCACUUUGGAAUGACCUAUUCUCCCAGGUUUUUCGUGCUGUCAGAAGCAUAUUAAAUGGUUUUUGUUGCAUUCUUCAUGGCCUGCAAUAGACAUCGUCUCAGCAUUUAUAAUCAUAUGCAGGAUUUCAUCCAAAGACUGCUUGGUCGAACCCAGAGAUCCAACCUCAGAAUCAUAAACAUAAUAGAGUAACACGUAAAGAUCAAAGUUCGGUAAGUCACUG